rnacentral:lncRNA from 1 species
GUAAGUUAGUGAAAUAGUCAUGUUUCGACUUGUUUAGGACUGAGACUUAGUUUAGUGAAUCUGAUAUCUAUAUACAUUCAUCAGAAAGAAUACAUUACCUUUGGAAUGUGUAUAUAGUUGAAUAACUUCUCUUUUUAUUGAAAUUGAUUCUAUAAAUCAGUUCUCCUCAACAAAACCUUUUUCGUCCAUUACCAAACACACCCUUAGUGUUUCUUUGUUUUGCUCGUCUUAACUCUUAUCUAUACUUUAACAUUUUUGUGUUUUACUUGCUUCUUUUGUUUACAAUAAUGUUUUAUCAUUUUGAAUAUGUUGACUUUUAGUCAAUUUUAUUUUUCUUUAGUUCAAAACAAUAUAAUAAAAGAGGCGUUGAAAAAUUCCAAAUACGUGAAACGUAAUCUUCUCUUUAUUUUGCUUUGCUCUUUCGAUCUUAAUUUAUAUAACGUAUUUCGCUUUUUAGUAUGUCUCAAAACAAAUUUACUACAUUUUUCUAAUUUGAAUAUAUAUUAAAAUUGUGGAUAUCAUAUUUUAGUCAUGAUGUUAUACUUUAGUUAAAGAAUAUUUCUUUUUACUUGUUCACUUUAGCAAAUCAAGAUCAUAAAAUUAUUAAUUGAUUUUUUUAUAAUUGUAGCGUCUAAGUCCGUUUGUAUGCGCACCGACUAAUUCUAUGAUAUACUAUAUCUAUUAUUCCUCACCAACCAUGCAUAAAGUAACUUUGUUAUCAAAGCUUGAACUGAUAAGAAGAAAUCAUCACGUGUUCUUAAUUAGCUAUAUCUAGAAUUUGAAUUUAAAAUCCCAUAAUUUUCAACACAUGACUUCAUUGACCAUCUUUCAAAAACAACAUAAGAUCUACAUUUAUUCUAUCUUUUCUUCCUGAUAAAUGAAAUUACACAAAAUACGUUGCGGUUGUUAUAUUGUCUUUGUGUAUCUAAAGUGAUAUGGGUGUGAGUGGGAACAUCCCAUGAGCAUAUGCUCAAGAAAAGGAUAUUGAAAACAAUGUGUAUGAAUUGUGCCCAAAUUAAAGUCAAUUCACUAUGCAUUUUCUUUAGAAAGAAAUGAAGGGUACAAACAUGUUUUUUUAAUAUUCAAGUUGGAAUAAACAACACAAUAUAAUCAAACUGAGAAAUGAUAUUCAAUAUACUUUUGCAGGCAUCCAGCAAGUUGGAAUAGUUUAAAGGUAAAAUGCAUAAGUACCCCCAGCUUAUGUUCAAAAUCCCUGAGACAUACCUAACAUUUACUAAGGUCCUAUUACUCUCUUGAACUUAUUUUAUAUAUAAUUUUCUACCCCUUUUCAGCUUACAUGGCACUAUCUUGUGGGUCCAGCGCGUGUUGUCAAUUUUUCCAAGGAUAGUGCCACGUAGGCCGAAAAGGGGUAAAGAAUUAUAUAUAAAAUAAGUUUAGGGGUAAUAGGACCUUAGUAAAGGUUAGGUGUGUCUUAGAAAUUUUGGACAUAGGCUGGGGGUACCUUAUGCAUUUCCCCUAGUAUAAAUCAGAUGAGUUCAAAAAGUUGGCACCAUACCGGGUGCAAUUCCGCAAGUAGGGUCUCGGAGGUUAAAAUGUACGCAACCUUAUGAAGGUAGACACACUAUUUUAAGUAGACUCUCGGCUCAAGUAACGCUUAGAAAGAAAAUAUAGUAGGAAGAAGUCAUGCUAAAAAUAACGCAGGAGAGAAUAGUAACAAGAUGUUAAAUAAUGUGGAGCCCAAAUGUAAUUUUCUAACUUUUUUUCUUUUUGUAUUUCUUUCCACAAAAAUAUUGAACUUUGAACUUCACACAUAAAAUCAAUGUUAAAUUUGUCUUACCUUCCCCUCCAAAAUAACCUCUUUAAAAAUGACACAAAUGAAGAAAUUGCACUGAUCCAAAUGAGGAAAAUCAGUUGAAAAGCUUGGAUCUUCCACUGAUGUAAAAAAAAAAUUGAGUCCCCUUUUCCUCUUUUAGUGUAAAGUUCAAAUCUUUGUACUGAUAAUCAGUUUUGAUUGGUUUUUAAAAAAAAAAAAUUAACCCCCUUUUCCUCUUUCAGUUUAAAGCUCAAAUCUUUUUACUGAUAAUCAUUUUAUUUUUUUGCAGAGUUAUGGAGAGCAACACUUAAGAGGAUUGCAAGAGUAACUUAUUUUCCCCCAUAGUACAGUUUCCUCUCUUUUUUUCUCAAUACAUUGCAUUUUUGUUAUUGUUAUUGUUGUUGUUGUUGUGGGUUAGUACAUAAAUGUUGAUCUUUAUUGUGCUUAAUUAUUAUUUCAGAAAGUCACGCUUCUUCUUGAUUUCAAUUUUUUUCAACAAAGAAAGUGACCUUCUGACAAUAAUAACUAUUAGUUGAAUGACCAUCUUAGAAAGUGACAUUUCAAUUUUUUUCGACAAAGAAAGUGACAUUACCUAACCAUAGUUAUUUUUCAAAGAUAUGAUCAAAAAGUGGCUCAUUACGGUAUGAAUGUAGUUUGGGCAAGUUGUAUGACUUUGGGACUCAUUUUAAAAAACUAUUCCAACUUGCCUUUUGGUACAAGUCUUAAAUACCAUUGACUUCAAUCAAAACUCUCUUAUAGAGAAACAGACACAAAGAGAAGACUUCUCUUUACAUAGCCUAACAAGUCUUGCAUUCCCAUCCAUUACACUGCCUUAUCCGAUAGACCCUCGACACAACAAUAAAGAAAAGAAUUUGAAGCAUGGUAGCAAGAAAAUAUGACAGCAAAACAGCAAGAUACAAAUCAAAUGAAGCAACAAGUAGUAAUGCACAUCGAAGAAAAAGAAACAAAGUGCAACAAUAUUGCUACCUACUAACCUUCUAAUGUAAUCCUCAACUUUCACUCCUUCCUACCUAGGGUCAUAUCCGGAGUAAAACUUGUAGAUUUUGAAAUUACCUGACUAUAGUUAUUUUUAGAAGAUAUGUCCGAAAGUGUCUCUCUAGUAUGAAUGUAGUUUGGGCAUGGGUCUCUGACAAACUAUUCCAACUUGCUUUUUGGUACAAGUCUUUAAAUACAAUUUGAGUCUCAAUCUGACAAAUAAUUCAAUGAGCAAAACAAGAAUUCUCACUUCUACCCUUCCACCAACCCCACCAUUACUCUCUUGGAGAGAAACAGACACAAAGAGAAGACUUCUCUUUACAAAACCUAAAAAGUCUAGCAUUCCCAUCCAUUACAUUGCCUUCUUCUUUCAUAAAGAAUUGGUUUUGAACAUCUAAAUCAAGAACUCAGAACUUCCUCCUAUUGUCCUGUAUAGUGAGAAACUAACAAACAGCGAUAUGGCGGCGUAUGCUGCUGUGACUUCACUUUUGCAAACCCUGGAUCAUCUAUCUCAAACUCAUACAUCACAUUCUCUUCAUUACAAAAAAGAGCAAACUGAAGUCCUCAGUGAGAAGUACACCUUCCUUAAAACCUUUCUUGAGGAUUUUACUAAUAUUUUCCAUGAAGAUGUAAUGAUGAAGCAUCUCGAAAGGAUGAUCCAAGAAGCUGCUAAUGGAGUGGAAGAUACUAUUGACUCACAUGUAUAUGAUAGACAUGUUUUAGUACAAAGCAAGCGAGUACGAAGAAAGGCUAAUACAACUUUCCAUCAAAACUUGGAAUAUGCAAUUGAGGAAAUUGGUUUGAUACAAAAAGAGGUUAUGAAAAAGAUAAAAGGUCAACAAGUUCAACAGUAAAAAUCUCUCAUUCAAGAGAUACUUCAUCUCAGAUCCCUUUGGAUCAAUGAGAUGUAAUCAUUGGACUGGAUGAAGACUUGCUAAAGAUAAAAGAUCGACUCAUCGUGCAAUCAUCAAGACUCGAAGUUGUCUCCAUUAUAGGGAUGGGUGGUAUUGGCAAGACCACACUUGCUAGAAGAGUUUAUGAUGAUUCCUUGAUUGCAUACCAUUUUUAUGUUCGAGCAUGGACAAAUGUAUCUCAAGAAUUUGACACUAGAGAAAUUUUUCUUGGUAUUCUUCGCUCCAUUGGCGUGGUCAACGAUGAAGUAGAAAGAAGCAGUACUACUGAGCAAUUGGCUGAAAGAGUUUAUCGAAGUUUAAAAGGGAGGAAGUAUCUUAUUGUCCUAGAUGAUAUGUGGUCUAUCGAGGCUUGGCAGCAUGUGAGGAGAUCAUUUCCAGAUGAUCAUAAUGGAAGUCGAAUCGUGUUGACCACAAGGCUUGUAGAUGUUGCCUCUUGUGCUUGCUCUGGCAAUUCCCUUCACCAGAUGCGUUUUCUGAGCAUGGAGGAAAGCUGGACUCUUUUACGCGAUAAGGUCUUUGGGAAUGGUGGUUACCCUCCGGAAUUGGAGAAAAUUGGGAGGUACAUUGGCCAUCAGUGUCAAGGGUUACCACUUGCAGUUGUUGCAAUUGGUGGGCUACUUUCCAAGAUGAGCAAGGAAACAAGUUCUUGGGAGAAUGUUGCAGAAAAAGUAGAAUCACUUAUGACCAGUGACACUAUGGAUUGUUUGAACAUACUUUCUUUGAGCUACAACCACUUGCCUCAGUACUUGAAAACAUGCUUCCUUUAUAUGGGAGUUUUUGCAGAAACUCGUGAGAUUCCGGUCUGGAAGUUAAUAAAGUUAUGGAUUGCUGAGGGCUUCGUCAAGAAAGUUAAUCAUAAAAAUCUAGAAGAUGUGGCAGAGGAAAAUUUGAGGGAGUUGGUUGAUAGAAGUUUGGUUUUGGUGGGGAAGCAUACUUCCCUAGGAAAAAUCAAGACUUGUAAGAUGCAUGAUCUCGUUCGAGAUAUGUGUUUGAGAGAAGCCCAAUAUGAGAAUUUUAUACACUUCAAAACAAGGUAUGACUAUGAUGAUCUUCUAGAAAACAAUAGUUGUCUACGUCGUGUAGCUGAUUUCCAUAAAUAUACAGACAGUAGACUUUCUAAACUUACCCCACUCACACGUUCUGUUUUCUUCAAAUAUCCAUCCUUUGAUUGUUGCCUCUCACAGUCGAGCUUUAGAUUACUUAGGAUAUUAGAUGUUUGCUUUACUACUUCUUUGGACAGUAGUCAGUCCAUAUCAGAACUUGUUCAUUUGAGGUAUCUUGCUUGUCCGUUUUUCAAUGGUCUUGUACAAUCACUAUGCAAGCUACGGAAUAUACAGAACUUAGUUAUUCAUAAUUUACAUCCAUUUGGUUUACUUAUGGGACCCCAGUCCCUACCAUGGGAAGUUGUGAAUAUGCCUCGACUAAGACAUAUCCAUACAAAAAAGUUUAAGUCUUUUCAUACCCCCACCUACAUCCCUAAUUGCUGAGAGGGAGAAUCACUUACAAACAAUAACCGGAUUGAUGCCCUCAUCUUGUAAUGAUGAGGUGUUUCUAAGAAUUCCAAAUUUGAAGAAGUUGGGAAUUUUAAUUGAUGUUGCUUCAUACCCUACUGCGAAUUGCCUUGAUAAUCUUGUACAUUUAACUCAGCUUGAGAAGCUCAAAGUUGUGGUCAGCGAGAGUUAUCUGAUUUUUAGGCGGGUGGACCUUUCUUGGCUACACAUUCCACAUUGUGACAAUUUCCCACCAAACCUUAAGAAGUUAACAUUGUGCACAACAAACCUACAAUGGGAAGACAUGAACAUUCUCAGAAAAUUACCUAAUCUUGAGGUGCUCAAACUUAAAGAUGAUGCCUUUGACGGACUAACUUGGAUACUAAGCGAUGAAGAGGAAGAUGGAUUCUUGAAGCUAAAGCUUUUACUUCUUGAGAACAUGAGUCUGAUGCAAUGGGAAGCAACAAGUUAUCAUUUUCCAAGCCUUGAGCACUUAGUUAUAACAUUUUGCUAUUCAUUGGAACAAAUUCCUUUCGACUUUGCGGAGAUUCAGACACUACAGCUGAUUGAACUACAGGACUGUCUGCAUUCUGUUCUUGUUUCAGCAGAGCAAAUACAAGCGGAGCAACAAAGCUUGGGAAAUGAUGACCUCAUUAUUCAUGCGAACUAUAUUUUUUGAUUAGCUAGAUUCGUUCGAAAUCUGAAAAUGUUUUUUAUAUUCAUCAUUUUCACUUAUUUAUACUAUAAAAGGUGCUAAUUACAAUAGGUUUGUGCAUUGCAGACGUAACGACUAGUUGAUGAAGAGUACAUUACCUUUUCGUGUCUGUGUAUUUCGAUUUCUUUUUUUUCAAAUUCUGGGAAGCAAGUUAGGACUGAGACGUAGUUUAGUGAAUCUGAUAUCUAUAUACAUUCAUUAGAAAGAAUGCAUUACCUUUGGAAUGUGUAUAUAGUUGAAUAACUUCUCUUUUUAUUGAAAUUGAUUCUAUAAAUCAGUUCUCCUCAACAAAACCUUUUCGUCCAUACCAAACACACCCUUAGUGUUUCUUUGUUUUGCUCGUCUUAACUCUUAUCUAUACUUUGACAUUUUUUUGUGUUUUACUU